GCACUCUAAAGAAUUUUCACGUCCGAUUUACGUGAAACAUCACGUAGCUCAACCUUAUUCUCAAAACUUCAUAAGUUACGUGACAUUAGUAACCUUCACUCGAUAACUACGUCGUGUGCACCAUCCUGAUUGGUGGAAUCCACCUGGUUUUCACGUAAAUCGUUUCAAUGCGUUGGUAUUAGUGUACUUCCGACUUGGAAGUUUUCGCGAAACGAAAGUUACGUGAAAUUCAGGUGUGAAAAAAAAAUCAAUAUGGCGCCGUGAAAUAGGUUCGUGUGAAAGCUAGCUGGUUGCUCAAGUGCUUGCUGAUGUAGAGUUUACAAAUUUGCAAAGACUGAACGCUAAUUAAAUUGCAAGCUCGACGGAGGACCAGUUCAGCGAGUGUUUGGAAUCGCUGGACUACGGAGGCUAUGCGACAAAUCUAGUUUAGUUGAAAUUAUCAAAUUUUGGAAGAUCAGUUAUAAAACAUACUGUUGUUUUACAAUUGUAGAUUAAUGAAUUAGUCCAAAUCAAAAGACCGAAAGAUUUAUCCUUUAAUUGUUAUAUAUUUGUAUGUACCAGCUUGUAGCGUAUUUAAGGAGGCAUGAGUUUUUAAAUCCCUAUAAAAUGCAAUGACAUAUUUAACGGUAGGUAAAAUCUGCAUUGCAUUUUGUAAUGAUUUUAAAUCUCUUGCCUCUUCAAAUACGUUGCAAGCUGGUGCGGUUGCUCUACUUUCAUUCAAAAAUCAUACAUAAAUAACGUGAUCUUCAUGUAGAAUUAAUCACAUUUUCACGUGAAAUUUUCCUUAAAUUCCGGUAGUUCUCACCUACAUUUCACGUAAACGAUACGUAGACUUAUGUCAAAUUUACCUGACUCAUCACGUCAAUUAGCAAAACCCAAAUAUUUCCAGCUACCUGAAACUCCGGUGAA